rnacentral:rRNA from 1 species
AGUAAAAGUCGUAACAAGGUCUCCGUAGGUGAACCUGCGGAGGGAUCAUUACACAAUAACAAGGCGGGCUGGACACCCCCCGCUGGGCACUGCUUCACGGCGUGCGCGGCGGGGCCGGCCCUGCUGAAUUAUUCACCCGUGUCUUUUGCGUACUUCUUGUUUCCUGGGUGGGCUCGCCCGCCCUCAGGACCAACCACAAACCUUUUGCAAUAGCAAUCAGCGUCAGUAACAACGUAAUUAAUUACAACUUUCAACAACGGAUCUCUUGGUUCUGGCAUCGAUGAAGAACGCAGCGAAAUGCGAUACGUAGUGUGAAUUGCAGAAUUCAGUGAAUCAUCGAAUCUUUGAACGCACAUUGCGCCCUUUGGUAUUCCAAAGGGCAUGCCUGUUCGAGCGUCAUUUGUACCCUCAAGCUUUGCUUGGUGUUGGGCGUCUUUUGUCUCCAGUUCGCUGGAGACUCGCCUUAAAGUCAUUGGCAGCCGGCCUACUGGUUUCGGAGCGCAGCACAAGUCGCGCUCUUUGCCAGCCAAGGUCAACGUCCAGCAAGCCUUUUUUUCAACCUUUGACCUCCGGAUCAAGUAAGGAUACCCACUGAAACUUAAACAUAA